GUGCCAGCAGCCGCGGUAAUACGAAGGGUGCAAGCGUUAAUCGGAAUUACUGGGCGUAAAGGGUGCGUAGGCGGUUGGUUAAGUCUGUUGUGAAAUCCCCGGGCUCAACCUGGGAAUGGCAAUGGAUACUGGCGAGCUAGAGUGUGUCAGAGGAUGGUGGAAUUCCCGGUGUAGCGGUGAAAUGCGUAGAGAUCGGGAGGAACAUCAGUGGCGAAGGCGGCCAUCUGGGACAACACUGACGCUGAAGCACGAAAGCGUGGGGAGCAAACAGGAUUAGAUACCCUGGUAGUCCACGCCCUAAACGAUGCGAACUGGAUGUUGGUCUCAACUCGGAGAUCAGUGUCGAAGCUAACGCGUUAAGUUCGCCGCCUGGGGAGUACGGUCGCAAGACUGAAACUCAAAGGAAUUGACGGGGGCCCACACAAGCGGUGGAGUAUGUGGUUUAAUUCGAUGCAACGCGAAGAACCUUACCUGGCCUUGACAUGUCCGGAAUCCUGCAGAGAUGCGGGAGUGCCUUCGGGAAUCGGAACACAGGUGCUGCAUGGCUGUCGUCAGCUCGUGUCGUGAGAUGUUGGGUUAAGUCCCGCAACGAGCGCAACCCUUGUCCUUAGUUGCCAGCACGUCAUGGUGGGAACUCUAAGGAGACUGCCGGUGACAAACCGGAGGAAGGUGGGGAUGACGUCAAGUCCUCAUGGCCCUUACGGCCAGGGCUACACACGUACUACAAUGGUCGGUACAGAGGGUUGCGAAGCCGCGAGGUGGAGCCAAUCCCAGAAAGCCGAUCCCAGUCCGGAUCGAAGUCUGCAACUCGACUUCGUGAAGUCGGAAUCGCUAGUAAUCGCGGAUCAGCUAUGCCGCGGUGAAUACGUUCCCGGGCCUUGUACACACCGCCCGUCACACCAUGGGAGUGGGUUGCUCCAGAAGCCGUUAGUCUAACCGCAAGGAGGACGACGACCACGGAGUGGUUCACGACUGGGGUGAAGUCGUAACAAGGUAACC
rnacentral:rRNA from 1 species